GACGAACGCUGGCGGCGUGCUUAACACAUGCAAGUCGAACGAAGAGCGAUGGAAGCUUGCUUCUAUCAAUCUUAGUGGCGAACGGGUGAGUAACGCGUAAUCAACCUGCCCUUCAGAGGGGGACAACAGUUGGAAACGACUGCUAAUACCGCAUACGAUCUAAUCUCGGCAUCGAGGAUAGAUGAAAGGUGGCCUCUACAUGUAAGCUAUCACUGAAGGAUGGGAUUGCGUCUGAUUAGCUAGUUGGAGGGGUAACGGCCCACCAAGGCGAUGAUCAGUAGCCGGUCUGAGAGGAUGAACGGCCACAUUGGGACUGAGACACGGCCCAGACUCCUACGGGAGGCAGCAGUGGGGAAUCUUCCGCAAUGGACGGAAGUCUGACGGAGCAACGCCGCGUGAGGGAUGACGGCCUUCGGGUUGUAAAGCUCUGUUAAUCGGGAAGAAAGGCCUUCUUGCGAAUAGUGAGAAGGAUUGACGGUACCGGAAUAGAAAGCCACGGCUAACUACGUG
rnacentral:rRNA from 1 species